CUCCCACCUCUUGUCAAGCUGAGCGAGCUAGAUGGCUCGGUCCCAUCUUCAUCCAAUCCCACAUCUCUUGACCCUUUGAACUGAGCAGGACUCUCAAAUGCAAAGGGUGUGUGUGUUGGCUAGAGGACCAACGACUAAAGUUUCACUAACCUCAGUGUUGAUAACGGUUGAUGGAGAUGACUCCAUAAUAGAUGCUGUAGUGGGAGUAGAUUGUGAAUCUACUAAUGUGGGUAAAGUGGGGAUAAAGUUUGGUGAGGCAGUCGGGUUCUCCUGUUGAAAGGUAGGAGUAGCUUCUAGUUCAGAUAAGAGAACUUCAAUCUCUAUGGUACGUUUCUCAGGCCCAUGGGCACCAUAAUCUUCAGUUGGUAGGGAAGCUUUUUCAUUAACAUGUAGAUCAUUUUUCUGGAUAGUUGGUGUAGAGUAUUCAACAUUAUCCUUUUGCUGCAUAACAGUAUCAAUGUUCACUAUAGGAACAUCAGAGCUAGUGUCUUGCGAGGUUGAUGCGGAGAUAGAAACCUGAGCAGUCGAAGAAGGUAACAGACACCUCUUUUCUUUGUGUCCUAGAUUACCACACCUCUCACACAUAGAUGGAAUCCAUGUAUACUCAACAUUAACAAGAAAGAUGUUACCUUGCUUAUCAUCAAGGGCAAUAAGCUUCGGAAAGUCUCUGUCCAGCUCCAUCUCAACUAAAACUUUUGCCUCGCCCAUACUAGUAGGAUCAAGUCGAGGUUUGUGCGUAAGAAUAGGUUCUCCAAGUCCAGAAGCAACAUGACUUAUUCCUAAUCUUGAGUAGCAACAAUCCGAACUUCGUCUCAGUAAACACUUUAAGUCGUAUAAAUGCAAGAGAAACCGCCACGUCUCGAGAAGAUUAUGAAACAUAACCAACCAUGGCUGCUCACCACAUCACUAGCCAAAGCCAUAUCAGACUAGACGAUCCUAAUCAAGGUAGCAUUAAAAAAGGUACUACCGCCACUUCAGCCUUUGUCAUUAAGCUGAACAUACAACCCAAGUUCGAUUUUGAAGGAGCCUUCUGGGGUCCAUGGCAGUACAAAAAGUAAGCAAUCAUCAAUGUGCCACACUCCACGCUGAAUAACCCAUUGACGGGUAGGUUGGUGUGGGAUAUGUAGUUCAGAUAAGAGAACUUCAAUCUCUAUGGUACGUUUCUCAGGCCCAUGGGCACCAUAAUCUUCAGUUGGUAGGGAAGCUUUUUCAUUAACAUGUAGAUCAUUUUUCUGGAUAGUUGGUGUAGAGUAUUCAACAUUAUCCUUUUGCUGCAUAACAGUAUCAAUGUUCACUAUAGGAACAUCAGAGCUAGUGUCUUGCGAGGUUGAUGCGGAGAUAGAAACCUGAGCAGUCGAAGAAGGUAACAGACACCUCUUUUCUUUGUGUCCUAGAUUACCACACCUCUCACACAUAGAUGGAAUCCAUGUAUACUCAACAUUAACAAGAAAGAUGUUACCUUGCUUAUCAUCAAGGGCAAUAAGCUUCGGAAAGUCUCUGUCCAGCUCCAUCUCAACUAAAACUUUUGCCUCGCCCAUACUAGUAGGAUCAAGUCGAGGUUUGUGCGUAAGAAUAGGUUCUCCAAGUCCAGAAGCAACAUGACUUAUUCCUAAUCUUGAGUAGCAACAAUCCGAAAUGUUCUUCAAAUUGGCCCAAACCGGAAGCGUGGAGAUUUCAGGGAUUUUGAAGGAGCCUUCUGGGGUCCAUGGCAGUACAAAAAGUAAGCAAUCAUCAAUGUGCCACACUCCACGCUGAAUAACCCAUUGACGGGUAGGUUGGUGUGGGAUAUGGAACAUGAAAGAUGAAUCACCAAGCUUCUUACAACUGAUCUUACAACUUCUUCCCCAUAUUCUAUUCACCACAGCAUGUACUAAACCACCUGGCGGUAGAGCACAUUUAUGGAACUUGCCAAUGAUAUACUCAUCCUUAUUCUCUGGACCUAGCUUAAGCACUUUCGAAGGAAUAGAUACCUCAGGUGUGCCAUCAAUGCGGUAAGUUGGUGUGGCUGCCCGAUAGAGAUUACGCGAUUGAGGGCUUAAUCUCGCAGCCCAGGGGAAACGGAGUCUCCCAUCCGCUUUUAGUUCCGGUGGUGGUAGCUUUUCAAUCGGGGGCUGGAGAGUACGAGAUGAAUACUUGUCCUUAGGUUGCUUGUUUAAGAUCUCGUCAUUUAAAGUCGGCCAGAGAGUGGCUAAUUGAUUCCCGAAAACUGCAGGAUCAUAGUCUCGUGGAGUACUAGGAUCAGGAGGAGUGGCUGGAGGUUUGAAAUAAAGGGGUUUGGCCCAUGAUCCCAUUGAUGGGAUAAAUUUUUCUUUAGCUUGAGCAAGGUUUUCAGAAGGAUCUGUUGGCGAUUUAUUAACCUCCAGCAUUGAUGUUUCCUGCAACUGUAUUGAUCCAGGGACAGGCAGCGAUAGGUUUUUGACCCCCAAGCGAGGAUGGUUUCUGCAUCGAAGCAGACUGAGGAAGCACAUCCAGGACAGAUGGUGAAACACUGUUUUUAGCAAGUGAAUUCAUCAAGCUAUUAACGUGACAGUGUGAGCCAAAGGUCACUGGCGAAGCUAGCUUCGAUGACGAAUCAUCACCUGCAUUGUCGGUGUUAACUGAAGCCAGAUACUUUGAAGGAGAGUCACAUACAGGUACUGUAACAGCUUCUGAAGUCAGAGGAGAAAGAGGAGCCACAGGUUCUGAAAGAGGAAACACGGGUUCAAGCAGGGAGGUUGUGUUCGUCCCUAUCACCGGAUCCGUCGGUGGCAACGAAAAUGACGAGGGCAGAGUCUGAUCAGUUUCAAUCUCCAAACCUUCGACUGACAGAGCCGAUGAAGACGAAGGAAGAGACAGAGAGUUGAAGCUUCUCGAUUUUUGAAGCGGCGAGAACGGAGGAAGAUCGAUCUCUGACGCCAUGAGAAGGGUCAAAGAGGAGGAGUAAGGUUUCUGGUGAGGCCUAUUGGCGACGACUCACUGGUCGGAGGACGCCGAACUUCUUUGUCGAUACUGGUUAGGUUUUC
rnacentral:lncRNA from 1 species